rnacentral:piRNA from 1 species
UGACAGAGGUGAUUGUCUCUAGAUAUGGC